CACUCCUCUUCCCUCCUUCCUCCCAUCGCUUGCUGCUUUUCCCCUCCCAUCUCCCCGCCCGGGUCAGGAGAAACUCGGCUGCAGAGCCAGGACUGGGAGCUGCAGCUGCCCAACGCCGGUCAGAGGCGGCCCCACCUCCCCUACCCACAGUAACCGGACAUUGGGUGUGCGGUCAGUAGAUCUGACCGGACACUGUUAGGUCCCCAUUUUAACCAGACUUCCUGAUUGAAAACCGGGCCCCUGGCCACCUAGAUCUGGAGUGCAAUGGGAAUGCUCUUCUGCAGCUGUAAAGGAAACCAAAGACCCCUCCCUUGGCCAGGCUGGCAAAGGCUUGUAAAAGAAGAGACCUCUUUGUGGAGCAGCCUUGGAAAGAAUCCAGCCAGGAGCUGAUGAAAAGACGGCUGUGAUGGGCAUAGGCAAGGAGGUGGCUUUGACUGCAACAGGACGAGAGCCUGUGCCACGUGCCCUUGCGAUUCGCUGGGGAUGUCAUCGUGCGGAGAUCCCAAGAGUGCCACGUCUGCAGGGCUGGCAGGAAAUGGAGCGUUACUCCCAGUUCACCUCACUUUCGAUUGUCGUUGGGGAAGAUGUGGAGCAGGGAGGAGAAAAGCCCCCCGAGGGUGGCACAGUGGCUAAGCUGACAGCAGGAUCCGCCGGGUAAAGAAGAGAUUCUGGAUCCGGCUCCCAGGGUGCCUCGCCAAACGUGUCUCCUCUUCCUACUUUGUUGUCUAUCUUUGGAAGAAACGGAAAAACCCACUGGAUCUGCGGAAGACACUAGGCAGAGAACUAAGCACUCUGUGGCCACAGCUGGGGACAGAGGAGUCUCCGCCAAAGUCCUUUCCCACUAGCAGGGACCUCUCUGUGCACGGAGCUCCUGAGAGCUGGGUGUCUCCAGGGAGUGGAGAACUCUGUGUCGGCCGCUCUUUGGGUCUUUCCCAGUGAACAUCUGCCGUGGUUGUUGCAAGGCCUCCAGAGAGUGGCCUUUCGGGAGAGCUGGCCGAAGAGCCUUCCCGGUAACCAGGAGAUGCCGGCAUGGCCGGCCAGUUGUUCCUCGCUGAGCCCAGCUUGUCUGUGCGGCUCCGUUUUUUGUCACUCUUCCUCGUAAGCCGACACACACAGCCCUUUACAAAGCAGCUACGCUGCCUACUCUGACCCCAGCCACAGGGACCCUAUGGGAGCUGUCCCCAAAACUACCCCACCCAAACUCCAGAAACUUCCGAAGGUGAAGGAACAAAUCCACCUAGCAACAAUGACCCAGACACAACUCACGCCUACUCCUUCGCCCCGCUGCUAAGGGGUCUCUUAAAGAGAUAGCUCCCUAUUAGGCACAUGGGUUACAAACGCAGAGUACAAACCACUAUGUGACCUCGGCUGCCACUUUGAAAACUCUCUCUGUGCCCACCUGUGGCUUUCUGUGCCCAGGGAGCCGGACAGCUCCAUGUCCGCCGGGCUUGCAGAAAAUGGGUUAAUUCUCUGCUUUGGAAUUGGCCAGUUUCCUCUUGGACCACCAAGUGGGGCAGUUUAGGAGGGCUUUGUGAAGGGAGGCACCGUGGCUAAGCAGGCUAUGAAAAGGCGGCCAUGACGGGCAUUGGCAAGGAGGUGGCUUUGACUGCAGUUGCUGCGGGACAAGAGCUGAUGCUGUGUGCCCUAGCAAUUCGCUGGGGAUGUCAAGGUGCAGAGAUCCUGAUAUUCAGUGGAGAACAGCCAUGUAAUGCAUUGCCCACCUCCCAGGAGAAUAGACUCAUAGAUUCAUAGACUUUAGGGUCAGAAGGGACCAAUGUGAUCAUCUAGUCUGACCCCCUGCACAAAGCAGGCCACAGAACCCUACCCAUCCACUUCUAUAACAAACCCCUAACCUAUGUCCGAGUUAUUGAAGUCUUCAAAUUGAGGUUUGAAGACCUCAAGCUGCAGAGAAUCCACCAGCAAGUGACCCGUGCCCCAUGCUGCAGAGGAAGGCGAAAAACCUCCAGGACCUCUGCCAAUCUGCCCCGGAGGAAAAUUCCUUCCUGACCCCAAAUAUGGCGAUCAGCUAAACCCUGAGCAUGUGGGCAAGACUCAUCAGCCAGCACUCAGGAAAGAAUUCUCUGCAGUAACUCAGAUCCCAUCCCAUCCAGCAUCCCAUCACAGACCACUGGGCAUACUUAUCUGCUGAUAAUCAAAGAUCAAUUGCCAAAAUUAAGCUAUCCCAUCAUACCAUCCCUUUGAUAAAUUUAUCAAUCUUAGUCUUAAAGCCAGAUAUGUCUUUUGCCCCCACUACUCCCCUUGGAAGGCUGGUCCAGAACUUCACUCCUCUGAUGGUUAGAAACCUUCGUCUAAUUUCAAGUCUAAACUUCCUAGUGUCCAGUUUAUAUCCAUUUGUUCUUGAGUCCACAUUGGUACUAAUCUUAAAUAAUUCCUCUCCCUCCCUAAUAUUAAUCCCUCUGAUAUAUUUAUAAAGAGCAAGCAUAUCCCCCCUCAGCCUUCUUUCGGCUAGGCUAAACAAGCCAAGCUCUUUGAGUCUCCUUUCAUAAGAAAGGUUUUCCAUUCCUCGGAUCAUCCUAGUAGCCCAUCUCUGAACCUGUUCCAGUUUGAAUUCAUCCUGAAUACCCUGAUCAUCCAAGCUGUCCAGUCAUUCCUGCCCUUUUCUGGACCAGUAAACAGGGCUUCAUUUGUGCCUGGCACCUCUGGGCCUGGCAGUUCAGAGCCCUGGCACCUCUGGGCCUGGCCAUUCCUAGCCCUGGCACCUCUGGGCCUGGCUGUUCCAAGCCCCGGCACCUCCGGGCCUGGCCGUUCAGAGCCCUGGCACCUACAGGCCUGGCUGUUCAGAGCCCUGGCACCUACGGGCCUGGCCGUUCCUAGCCCUGGCACCUCUGGACUUGGCACAUCAGUUAGGAAAGUAAAAAAUUGCUUGAGUCCCGGCACCUCUUCCAUUACAAAUGAAUCCCGGCCAAUAAGUAACACUGGGCAUGUGGCACAGACGCUGUUCACCAGAGCUCAGCAUCUCAGAGCUGCCCCAGUCGUGGAGGUGAUUCGAUCCCAGAUGGGUGAGGUCUCCCGGAUGGCAUGGUGUCCCUCUCUGCCUUCCCCAGAGAUCCUAGUCCGACGUUCCUUCCAGGGGUCCUGCUGGUUCUUUACCUUUUCUUUAUGGCACAUGCAGACUCAGGGAAAGGAUGGGUCUGGAAGUCAGUGCUCCUGGGGUCUCAAAUUGUGGGGUCACAACCCCUCGGGGGGGGUCACAAGGUUAUUAUGUGAGGGCUGCAAGCACACGCCUCCCACCUAGCUAGCAAGUCUGGUUGCAGGCUCCCAGGGAUUAAUUAACGCCUGCUCUGUGGCCCUGCGGUGACAUGAGGUUUGGGGAGGCUUAGCCUCCAUCAGCCUCCAUUACGUAUUGCCAGUGGGGGAGCUCUGUAAUGAAUAUUCCCUUGACCAGUAUUGAUGUGAUGCUCAGGGCUUGUCUAGGCUAGGAAAAGUGAUGGAGAUUUGGUGAGGUCAAGGGGAAAGCGAACCUCAUUCUCUGUCCCAACGUUUAUAUCUGCACCGGAACUAUAUGUGUGUGUUUACAUCAGGAUAGCUCCCUUCAGCAGCAAACUCCAUGUACAAUCUGAGUGGAGACAAGGGACAGGUCGUUUUCACCUCACUGGAGCUAGCUGUGGUCAAACAUAUCUCCCUCACCUGGGGGGAUGAGCCUUCCUGGCAGGACAGACACACGCUCCAGUUCCUCAUAAGACCACAGAGUGGACAGAAAGCAUCAUGGCAUUCGCCUCCCCAAAAAUGAGCUGCAAAUGGCAGAAGCAAGAAACUCACCUGCAGGAGAUGAGAAACCACAAUUCAGGCAGUGGCGCAAAGCGCUUGACAGGGUACAACGUGGGAAUGAGAUGUGUAUUUAAAAAUAAAUAAAUAAAUAAAUAAAAGAACACUUUAGCCCAGCCUUAGUCAAGACAUUUGUGGCAUUAUCCCAUGUGUAUUCCCUGAGGAGUGACAGGGCCUGAGCUUCAACUGAAGCUUUUCCCGCACUUGGCGCAGGUGUAGGGCGUCUCGCCGGUGUGGAUGGUCUGAUGACGAAUGAAGGUCGAGCUCCGACUGAAGU